UUUGCUUCAUGGCCUUUUGUCUAAGAUAAAGUGUAGCAUCUGUUCUUAUCAGUUAAACAAAUAUUAUUAUUAAUAUUAUUAUUAUUAAUAAUAAUAAUAAUAAUCUAAACAUUGCAAUACUACUGUAUUGCUAUAGGCAUGUGGGUCCCUCU